rnacentral:rRNA from 1 species
UACGUAGGGGGCAAGCGUUGUCCGGAUUUAUUGGGCGUAAAGCGCGCGCAGGUGGUGCGGUAAGUCUGUCGUGAAAUCUCCUGGCUCAACUGGGAGGGUGCGGUGGAGACUGCCGGACUGGAGGCACUCAGAGGCCGGUGGAAUUCCCGGUGUAGUGGUGAAAUGCGUAGAGAUCGGGAGGAACACCAGUGGCGAAGGCGGCCGGCUGGGGGUGACCUGACGCUGAGGCGCGAAAGCGUGGGGAGCGAACCGG